CCGCCCCGGAGGUGCUGAGUGCGGCGGCGACGCCACCCUUGCUCCUGCUCCCUGAGGGGAGGUGGCGGUGGUUGGCGGCGCCCCCGUCUUUCAGCUGCUCGCCGCGGCCCCUUCACCUCCGUUCGUUUUCCGUCCCCCCGCCUUCGGUCGGAGGUGGCUCUGUGUGGAAGUGCUUCAGCCCUCGCCCCCGCGGCGGCCUGGGGAGCCCCGGGCUGGCCGGGCGCCAGCGCAGCCUACCUCGGCCGGGCGGCUUGGCUGAAGGGCUCCUGGCGCGACGCCGAGGCUCUUCGUACUGAAAGUGCCAGCUCUAGGAUUCUUCAAGAAUAAACUGAGUGUGAAUGAUGGUUAUUUCUUGUACUUCCAUUUAAAGGACAAAGGUUCCUGGUUUCAUGUGGAUACAUUAUACUGUGAUUGAGGCACAAUGCAAGCAAUGUGACAAUUACAGGAAAAUACCAGUUAGUAUCAAGUUGUGUGGCAAUUCUCCUCUGCUGUACCAGGACUAUUCUGCGCAUAUCGCUGAAAUGCGGAGCAGCUGAUAGCCAGGGUGCUUUGUCCAUGCCAUUUGAAGAGAAGAACUUUACAGUGCUGCUUUUCCAUGGGAGCCUGAGGAGAGCUCACUCCAGAUGAAAGGAAAUGGAAUGCAUCUGAAAGAGCAGCCAAAUUUUGAUAGCUUUUUCUUGCCAAUGCUGCGUCAGCAAGUGUAUGAGCACUGAUUCAAGUUUUCGUUACUCAGCUCUUAUGGCAGUAACAAAUAGUUUCCAUCAGAAGUAGUCUUUGAAGAGGUUGGAAAGGACAUUUUCAGCUCCCUGUGCUCUGCCGGGUACAUAAGAAGCCAGGACGGGACACAGCUGGGACAGCUGACCCCAACUGACCCAAGGGAUUGUCCGUACCAGAUGACGUCAUGCUCAGCAUAUAAAGCUGGGGGACGAAGAAAGAAGAGGGGGACGUUUGGAGUGAUGGCGUUUGUCUUCCCAAUUAACCGUUACACAUGCUGGAGCCCUGCUUUCCUGGGGAUGGCUGAACACCUGCCUGCCCAUGGGAAGGAGUGAAUUAAUUCCUUGUUUUGCUUUGCUGGUGUGCGCAGCUUUUGCUUUACCUGUUAAAGUGUCUUUAUCUCAGCCCAUGAGUUGCCUCACUUUUACUCUUCUGAAUCUCUGCCCCAUCCAGGUGGGGGGAAUGAGCAAGGGGCUGUGUGGGGCUUGGUUGCUGGUUGGGGCUAAACUAUGACACAAGUUGCUCUUGGGGAGAUUCCGAUUGGACACAAGAGGGAAAGUUUUCACAGUGAGAACAGUCAACCGUUAGAAUAAUCUCCCCAUGGAAGUGGUUGACUUGGCCACAUUGGACACUUUUAAGAUUCAGCUGGGCCAUCUUGUCUAGACUGUGCUCUUCCCAGAAAGGUUGGACUAGAUGAUCCCUGAGGUCCCUUCCAACGUGUGACUCUGAUCUCAAGACAAAAUACCAUUACCCACAUAGUGAACAGGCAGGAGUGUUCCCUUCACAAAACCAGGUGCAGAGUAUUCUAUGGUUUAUUUUUUUUAAUCAGUCUCCUGACAGUAACGACAAGUUUGUGUGUUUUUUGAAGUCUGUAAUAGACUUUUUAUUAAAAUACAAUUUUCAUAUAACUAAGCCAAUUUUUUAAUAACUUGUAGAAAUAUCAGGACUGCAGGCCGCUUACAAAUAGGUUCUGUGACAUCUUAGAGUAAACUAUUUAGCAGCGAUAUAUGAAAUAUGUGAGAAUUUCACUAAUUCAUAAUUUAGUAAUCAGGCAUUUUAUAAUUUGCCUAAAAACAAAUUGCAUCUUAUUGUCAUUCAUCAGUGAAGAUGUAAGGGCUGUGUGCCCUGAGCUUUCAUUUCAGCAACAAUUCUUUCAUUUCUGAAAAUGAAGCCAUGCAUAUUAAUGUUUUAUAGAAUAGAAGCAUAACUCAGUUCUUAAUAUUUCACAGCAAGUCUCAAAAGUUUCUACUAUUAACUAGUUUCUUUUUGUGUAUGCAUACAGUACAUUUUGUCUUGUGCUAUAUUAUCAUCAUGAAGUAUUUUGUAUUUAAUGGAAAAUAAGGUGCUUAAAAUAUUGAUGAGUGCUUCAAUUCACAGGUUUUGAACACCACUGGGAAUUGAGCCUGGUGCCUUGACUCACAGCCCUCUCUCUAACCAAGGGAUUAUUUCAGUGAAGAAUGGAAGUCAGCUCUCAAGGGAGGUGGAAAUGAAUGACAUGAAGACAUACCUGACUCAUAAUUCUGUUCUACAGGUAAUCAUGGACAAUAUUGUGUGAUAUCCUGCAAAUGUAAUUUGAAGGCCGUGAAUGGUGACUCACAGAUUCUGUAUUCUCAACCUUUAUAAGGCAUUCCAUUAAGUGCUGCUACUCCUAGAUGCUGAAUUACCUAAAGUGGCAAAAACGCUUAUCCCUUUUUGUGUCAGAUAUCCUCCUGGUUGUCAAGUGUAACUCCUGUACAUCUCCAUAUACUUCAAAAGUCCACAUAUGUCCCUGAUCCGACAGGGGUGCUCACAGGAGGGAAGAAAGCUUAAUGAGAUUUAGUGCCUAGUCUGGUAAGUCUCAAUGUGACUCCUUGCUUUGACCCCAAACUCAGAGUUAUUUCGGUAAAGGAACAAGAUUUAUAUGAUCAGGAACAGAGAGACAGAUCUCUCCUAUGCAUUAUUUUUAAAAAAGAAACCAAGAAAAAUAAAACCAGACUUAAUUUGUCCUGUGCUGGCACAAGGCUUCUGAGCAGUAUUGGGAAAAUAAUCUCUUGCCACCUUGUGAAUAAAGUAUUUCAUCCUUGUUAAUGAAAUGGCAAAUGUGCUUUGUUCUACUAGAAUCUAUGUUCUACCUGUGGCAGAAGCAGAGCAGUUCUGUUAAGCAGCACGCUCCCUACAAAGGGUGGGAUACUGUGAUAAUUGAGCUCUGCACAGCCAGUAUUGUACAGCUCCAGUUCUGUACCCACUCGUCUCCUUUACUAGAAUCCACAUGUCUAGCCGUGAGACAGAAUCAUGCUGUGGUCCAGAGGGAUGGGAAGAGGUGUGCGUAUCCAUCUUUUAAUGCAGUACAUGCUAUUGGGAUGGUCUGCUGCCCUCAGAGCGUUCUCCUUCCAGCUGCAGAGGCGCAGGGCUGGGCACAUGAGCAGCAGCAGCAUUUGGCUGCUCCUUGUGGGCAUUGGGGAUCUCGCUUGGUCUGUGUGCUGAAUC